GUAGGGAAUAUUGCACAAUGGAGGAAACUCUGAUGCAGCGACGCCGCGUGAGUGAUGAAGGCCUUCGGGUCGUAAAGCUCUGUCGCAGGGGAAUAACACAAUGAAGGUACCCUGUAAGAAAGGAUCGGCUAACUUCGUGCCAGCAGCCGCGGUAAGACGAGGGAUCCUAGCGUUGUUCGGAAUCAUUGGGCGUAAAGCGGAUGUAGGUGGCUAUGUAAGUCAGAUGUGAAAGCCUGGGGCUCAACCCCAGAAGUGCAUUUGAUACUGCGUAGCUUGAGUGUCGGAGAGGUUACUAGAAUUGUUGGUGUAGUGGUGAAAUACGUAGAUAUCAACAGGAAUACCGGAGGCGAAGGCGGGUAACUGGCCGAACACUGACACUGAGAUCCGAAAGCGUGGGGAUCAAACAGGAUUAGAAACCCUUGUAGUCC
rnacentral:rRNA from 1 species